AUCUGGUAUUGUUGCUGAUCGAGCUGGGGAUGAUUGUGAUGGUGUGGCUGUUGCUGGGAAGGAUAUACAUGGUAGUAAGCAGGGAUUGGGACUGCACCAGUUGGGUGAUGGUGUAUGUAAUGUGUACCAGUGUGUAUAAACUGUUGGGGUUGAGGCUGCGGUGGUGGUUGUUGUUGUUGUUGUUGUUGUUGUUCGAAUUGGGGUUGUAAAAGAUACCCAGAAUCCUGAACCGGAAUCCGGGUGUUGGGAUCAGAGACGUUGAUCUUCGGAUCAACAGGGUUGCCGGCAACCCUGCUGACUCCGGAGGGGAUUUGAACAACUGAAUCCUGAUAUACUACAGGUUUUGGACGAGACAGAGGAUUGUUCAUACUACUAUCACUGAAAAAUUAACACCAGCAAACAAACAUGAGGAAACCCAAUUCAGAUUCUAAUCAUGAUUUCUCACCCAAAAAACAGAAAUGAUCAUGUUCGUUCAUGAGAGAAGUUAGAAAUAAUCGGAAGAAACAAUAGUCACCACCAUGGGAGUAAAGUUGUUGCAAUGAAAAUGGUACCUUGCAACUGAAUCAGGAGAAGGCAAAUCGUGACCACCACCGGACUUUUGUGGAGGCUGAGGAGGCAGGUUUUGCGUCUGUGACGGAGGAGCCGCUGAUUUCCGGUAUCCAACCGGCACCCCAUGGUCCGAUCUCUCAUCAUCGGAGAAAACCCGAUUCAGGUACUCCCCAGAAGCCGCCGCACCACUCACCUGUACUCCGGCUAUAGCAAUGGUCGUCGGCAUCGGCGGCGGCGAUGAAAGCACCACAAACCCCUCAUCCUGCUGCUUCUGCAACCCAACAACGCUUAUCUGAGCGAACUGUUCUUCGAUCCCCAUCUUCUGAUCCUGCAUCCUAGCGCCGCCGCCGCCACCAGCACCCACCCCGUCGUCCACGUGAACCCGAAUCGGAGGCAAAUUCGCGAGAGAAGGUGAAGAAGAAGUGGACCCGAAAGACGACGUCGUUUCCAACAUAGGGGAAUCUGGCACUGAGUGCACAUCUUGUCCCGCUUGUUGCUGUUGCUUUACAUUCUUCUGAGAACCC
rnacentral:lncRNA from 1 species